CUUCAAUAAAUGGUGUUGGAAAAACUGGAUAUCGACAUGCAGAAGAAUUAAAUUAGACUCUUCUCCCACAAUAUGCAAAAAUAGACUCAAAAUGGAUUAAAGACUUAAAUAAAUACUGCUAAUUAAAUAUAUUUACUUAUAUAUGUGUACACAUAUGUACACACAAUAAAAUCAGUAUGUUGAAGAGAUAUCAGCAUUCUCAUGUUCAUUACAGCACUAUUUACAAUAGUCAACAUAUGGAAACAAUGUAAAUGUUAACAACACCGCACCUUCUUCUUAGUGCUUUUUCUCAUCACACUGAUUAAGUUCACCACGCUUAA
rnacentral:lncRNA from 1 species